AGUGAGCGCUGGCGGUAGGCCUAACACAUGCAAGUCGAACGGCAGCACAGUAAGAGCUUGCUCUUACGGGUGGCGAGUGGCGGACGGGUGAGGCAUACAUCGGAAUCUACUUUUUCGUGGGGGAUCACGUAGGGAAACUUACGCUAAUACCGCAUACGACCUACGGGUGAAAGCAGGGGAUCUUCGGACCUUGCGCGAUUGAAUGAGCCGAUGUCGGAUUAGCUAGUUGGCGGGGUAAAGGCCCACCAAGGCGACGAUCCGUAGCUGGUCUGAGAGGAUGAUCAGGCACACUGGAACUGGGACACGGUCCAGACUCCGACGGGAGGCAGCAGUGGGGAAUAUUGGACAAUGGGCGCAAGCCUGAUCCAGCCAUACCGCGUGGGUGAAGAAGGCCUUCGGGUUGUAAAGCGCUUUUGUUGGGAAAGAAAAGCAGCAGGUUAAUACCCCGCUGUUCUGACGGUACCCAAAGAAUAAGCACCGGCUAACUUCGUG
rnacentral:rRNA from 1 species